rnacentral:rRNA from 1 species
GGUGUGGAUAGGGGAGAAAUUCCAAUCGAACCCGGAGAUAGCUGGUUCUCCUCGAAAUAGCUUUAGGGCUAGCCCAUGACAAGUCUGCCGCAGGUAGAGCACUGAAUUUCCUAGGGGGCGUCAAAGCCUACCGAAGAAUAUCAAACUCCGAAUGGCGGCCAGAUGGUGUCAUGGAGUCAGACUGCACGAGAUAAGUUGGGUGGUCAAAAGGGAAAGAGCCCAGACCCACAGCUAAGGUCCCAAAGUGCGUGUUAAGUGGAAAAGGAUGUGGGAUUUCGAAGACAACUAGGAUGUUGGCUCAGAAGCAGCCACACAUUAAAAGAGUGCGUAAUAGCUCACUAGUCGAGAGGUCCUGCGCCGAAAAUGUCCGGGGCUGAAACACGACACCGAAGCUUGGGAAUCCUACGGGAUUGGUAGAGGAGCAUUGAAGACGGGACGAAGCGUAACCGUAAGGAUACGUGGACUGUCUUGAAGAGAGAAUGCCGGAAUGAGUAGCGAGAAUGAAGUGAGAAUCUUCAUGGCCGAAUAUCUAAGGUUUCCAGGGUAAAGCUGAUCUGCCCUGGGUAAGUCGGGACCUAAGGCGAGGUCGAAAGACGUAGCCGAUGGACAACAGGUUGAAAUUCCUGUACUGCAUUAAAUCAGAACUGUGGGGACACAGAAGGAAGGCAUGAGCCGGAAAAGGAAAAUCCGGUGCAAGCAUGGGAGGGGUAUGACAGGCAAAACCGUCAUGCAACCCGAGAAUGUGACGCGGAGCGAACAAAAGUAGCGAAGCAUGCUUACCGGCUGUCGAGAAAAGCCGCUAUUGCGUUUAAUGUACCCGUACCGUAAACCGACACAGGUGGAUGAGGAGAGAAUCCUAAGGCCGGCGGGAGAAGCAUUGUUAAGGAACUCGGCAAAAUGACCCCGUAACUUCGGGAGAAGGGGUGCUCUUAGAAAUAAGAGCCGCAGAGAAUUGGCCCAAGCAACUGUUUAGCAAAAACACAGGUCUAUGCAAAACCGAAAGGUGAGGUAUAUGGGCUGACGCCUGCCCGGUGCUGGAAGGUUAAGAGGAGAGGUUAGCGCAAGCGAAGCUUUGAAUUUAAGCCCCAGUAAACGGCGGCCGUAACUAUAACGGUCCUAAGGUAGCGAAAUUCCUUGUCGGGUAAGUUCCGACCCGCACGAAAGGCGUAAUGAUUUGGGCACUGUCUCGACAAUGCACCCGGUGAAAUUGAAAUACCAGUGAAGAUGCUGGUUACCUGCGCCAGGACGGAAAGACCCCAUGGAGCUUUACUCUAGUUUGAUACUGGGAUUCGGUAUUGCAUGUACAGGAUAGGUGGGAGGCUAUGAAGCGAUGACGCCAGUUGUCGCAGAGCCGCUGUUGGGAUACCACCCCUGCAGUACUGGGUUUCUAACCUGCGGCCGUAAUCCGGCCGGGGGACAAUGUCUGACGGGGAGUUUGACUGGGGCGGUCGCCUCCGAAAGGGUAUCGGAGGCGCUCAAAGGUUCCCUCAGAAUGGUUGGAAACCAUUCGAAGAGUGCAAAGGCAGAAGGGAGCUUGACUGCGACACCGACGGGUGGAGCAGGUACGAAAGUAGGACUUAGUGAUCCGGUGGUAUGAAAGUGGGAUUGCCAUCGCUCAACGGAUAAAAGCUACCCUGGGGAUAACAGGCUUAUCACUCCCAAGAGUUCACAUCGACGGAGUGGUUUGGCACCUCGAUGUCGGCUCAUCGCAUCCUGGGGCUGUAGUAGGUCCCAAGGGUUGGGCUGUUCGCCCAUUAAAGCGGUACGCGAGCUGGGUUCAGAACGUCGUGAGACAGUUCGGUCCCUAUCCGGCGUGGGCGUAGGAUAUCUGAGAGGAGCUGUCCUUAGUACGAGAGGACCGGGAUGGACUGACCUCUGGUGUACCGGUUGCACUGCCAAGUGCAUGGCCGGGUAGCCAAGUCGGGACGGGAUAAACGCUGAAGGCAUCUAAGCGUGAAGCCCCCCUCAAGAUGAGAUAUCCCAUAGAGUAAUCUAGUAAGACCCCUUGA